rnacentral:rRNA from 1 species
AGACAGGAGAGUCAGUUCGGCUGGAUCGGUGACAGGUGCUGCAUGGCUGUCGUCAGCUCGUGUCGUGAGAUGUUGGGUUAAGUCCCGCAACGAGCGCAACCCUUGUCCUUAGUUGCCAUCAUUAAGUUGGGCACUCUAGGGAGACUGCCGGUGUUAAACCGAGGAAGGUGGGGACGACGUCAAGUCAUCAUGGCCCUUAUGUCCAGGGCUACACACGUGCUACAAUGGCCGGUACAAAGGGUUGCGAAGCUGUGAAGUGAAGCUAAUCCCAAAAAGCCGGUCUCAGUUCGGAUUGGAGUCUGCAACUCGACUCCAUGAAGUUGGAAUCGCUAGUAAUCGCGUAUCAGCAUGACGCGGUGAAUACGUUCCCGGGCCUU